rnacentral:lncRNA from 1 species
CUCACGCAAACCAACUCUAAGGGUCUCAUUAGUUGUCUACAUCUGCCUGUAUUUAAAUUUGUGCACUGCAGUUUGUUCAUAUAAGAGCCUGUUUGGCAGAGCUCUGGUUUCUCUGAAACCGUUCUGAAAAACAUUUGAUAAAAUAGUUCUUUCUGACAAAACCCAACAACAAGCCACGCGAAGCUCAUUUUUUUGAGGUUUCUCUUGCAUGUAAAACUCUUGACCGCAACCCAUGCGGAGCCAGGUGUGCCGGAGCUGAAGCCCCUGCAGAGGCUCUUGUUGCCUACAAAAGCUCUUUACGCAAAGUGCUUGAACCAGCUAGUGCAACAAGAUUUUUUUGUAUUAGACAAUGCAAAAUGCAUAAACCACGGACACAAAAAAAAUAAAGUAUCAUCAUAAACAGUACACGGUAAACAGUGAGCAAUACAAUCAUUUAAACAAAAUAAACACCUGACUAAAUAAAAUGACGUAUCAUCGUGUAGCAUUUGAACACAAUGUGUAAACAGGCUAGGGGUGUUUGGCAAACAGACCCGAACAAAUGGUAUUUCCACAUUCUCUAAUUUUACUAAAAACAUGAGACCUCUAAUAGAUCAUAUAGGGUGACUACAUGCAAUAAAUGUAAAUAAACAAAUACAAUUUGAUCAGACAUAGUUUGCCUACGUAGAACAACCAAACACAAAGAUGUUUAUGUUGGGUUAGCUUAUGCUACAUAAAAUAUGCAGGCUAAGCUAGUAUAGGAAACCAAUAAAACACUAACUAAAUAAGGGUUUACCCAUACUAAAAACGAAAAGCUCUUGCUUAUUCAAAAGAAAACGAGAAACUGUGAAGUAAACCUGAACGGAUAAUAACGUAGGUUUAAGCUUCAAUUGGUAUCUGUUGUUAUUUACUACUCUCUCCUCUGUUUUAAAUUAUUUGUCACUUUAAUUUUUAUCUCAAUUAAAAAUAUCUAAAUUUCUAUCAACCUUUGGAAAAUAUAUAUCAACGUCUAAAUGCCUACUAAAUGAACCAUCAAGACAUAUUUUAUAGUGGGUUUAAUAUAAAAUAAUUUGAUAUUAUAGAUUUUGGUGUACUUUUCUUUUUAACUUUGUCAAGGUUGAAUAAGUUUGAUAUUGUAGUUUGUUUCAUAACGAAAUGAGUAGGCUGUAUGCUAAGCAGAUUUUUCAGUUUUUGAGAUUUGAACAGCAUAUUUCACUUUUCCAAACUCAGUGCGCCACCAAACAUAAGGAUAAAACAUGGGCAAAUGGAGGAACAGAAGAGUUCCACAGGGAACAGGGUGUUUCACGUGAGUGUAGCAGGGGGCCGAAAGACAGCGAGAGGAGGGGGGCAUUGGAUUCUGAUUUCUGAGAGCACCUGGCAAGUCAAAAUUCAGAGUACUGUGAUGGAUGCAGUGUGCCGAACUGCGUUCCCGUUGUUUUCUGUCCUGUACUUGUCCCCCGUCCCGCUCUGAAAUCUCAGCAGGCAACAGACAAAUGUAUGAGAUCGAAAAGUUGAUUGGAAAAAAUCAGAGACUCCACCUGUGCCAAGACAGACAAAAUAAGUGUUAUCAGGGAACACAGCAUGUUAACAUCAGAGAACUCGUGUAAAAAAACAUCAGUAAAAUUAGAGGACGGCUUGGUGCCUGGAUGCAAUGGGUUUGCCCAUUUCAAUUCGAAAGGAGCUGUGGAAUAUGAUAAACCACCCAACGAAGAAAAAGAUGCAUUAUAAAGAUAAAGAACAGGAGUGUUAAAAACUAAGAUAUUCUAUGCGAGCAUAACAUUUUUGCGCAUAUAUACUUUUUUUUAUUACAAUCUCUCGCCUUUUGCCCUCCAAGAACAUAGCAUAUUAGCAAAGAGAACAAUUUUUAGUUAAAUACCAUGAUUAGUUCAAUCCUAGCAAGAAUAAACUUAAGUUUGCUUUAAAGGUUUUUAAGAUGUAAUUCAAUCUGCUGCUGGAACAAUAUGGACCUGAUUCACCUCUUUUCCUUUUUCUUUUCUAGGGCAGGGAUGGGGUGAAGGAACUGAGGGUUUGUUUAGGGAUCCAAAAAGUUUUUGAAUUUUGACACUAUAGCACUUUUGUUUUUAUUUGACAAACAUUGUCCAAUUAUAGAGUAACUAGGCUUAAAAGAUUCGUCUCGCGAUUUACAGCUGUGCAAUUAGUUUUUGUUUUCAUUUAUAUUUAAUGCUCCAUGCAUGUGCCGCAAGAUUCGAUAUAACAGAGAAUUUUAAAAAGUUUUAGAUUUUUCGGUAAACUAAAGGCCUUAGAUCAUUGCCUCCAAUAAGAUCUUAGCCCUAGGUGUCUGAAAUUAGACAUACGCUACCUGAUAUGGUUAAGAUUUUCGCGCCAUCAUCCAGACAGGCCCAAGUCUCUCGAUCCUUAGAGAACUUUGCCUUGGAGCUUGAAGCCAACCUUGUUUAGGAGGAUACCAAUUGCCAAGUUCUACCUAGCUAUUAUCGUUGUUCAUUCAGCUCGGUGCUCUGGUUUGAGCAAGGAUGUGUGGUGUACGGUGCAUGAGAACGAACUAGACCCAGUUUUGUCUUAUUUAUAAAGCAAGAAAAAAAAAAGAUGGGAGGCAGCUGGGCCUAGUUCGCUAUCGCACCACUCUCUCACUGUCACAUGCAAGAAAGAAGUCUGAAGAGUACGACACCUCUCAAACCAAGAGAAAACAAACUGUCUGCAAGUAACAAGUCAGUAGUUAAAGUUCUUGAUAAGUGGGAGCCUAGCAAGUUUAACAUAGCUGGGACCCACGAUGCAGUACUGGGUCAGAUUAGUUGACCGGGCUGACUGACAUGGGACCCACUGGGCCACCGAAAGGGAAACACAUAUACUAAAAAUCUGAAAGUACAGAACAACCUCUAUCGAUACUUCCAAUCAAAUUCUAUGUCUUGCCACGACCUAGUUCUCGAAUGCUCAGAACAACUGAAGAAGUGAUGAAUGGAUCAGAUCAUCCACUGACUCACGAUCGAAACAAAGCUCGAGCCAACCAAUCAACACUGAGCUAGUGAUCUAAGCAAUCUCUUGAUUGCUCCCAUGGCAAGGAAUAGACUUUCAUGUGCUUCAAAAUAUGGGCACAAUGCAGGUGACUAGAGAAUUUUUGGAUUAGCAGGAUGCAAAUUUAUAUGUAUUGGAAAAGUUCUUGCGAGAAUUAAUUUUGUAGGUGUCAAAUGGGAACCUGCUUUGGUUUGUCCGCUUCCCACCAAAAACGUCCAACUCAAUUGGGACCAUCCAUCCAUGAGAAAGGAAUCUUGGACUUCUGUUAGUCUCCUUGUCCCUGGAUUAAGAUAACCAUAGAUUAAUUUAGAAUAGAGCAACAUGGGAGUAGGGGCUAAAAGUUCUGCAGUAGCAAUAUAUUUUUUUCAAGUCCAAGGCAGGCAGAUAGAAUAAUGGUUAGGGCCUAGCCCAGGGCUCAUGGCUGUUCUGGAGCACGAUGGACUGAAAAAUUACAAAUGUGUAGAGAUAUGGGCCCUUUAGAGAACUAGGACAUCGAUACUGAAGUAAAGAAAGCCCGGUGCACCUUUUGCAGCACAGAACAUUGACCUUUUGCUUUGAGACUAGAGAUCAAACAAAUGUACCAUCAAAACAGCAUUCUGCCCCUGUUGACGGCCAAAAGCCAGCAGAUCUAUUGUGGUACCGGCAGCAAAGAUGCUUAGCUUCAGGAAACUUGACCCAGGGGACCAAAUCCACUAUUCUGGGAGUGAUUCUGCAGGGUGCCAAAAAAUUUUAAAAGAAACUUGGAGGAUGGACCCUAGUGAAUGAAAAGUUCUAUCCCUAAGUAAUAUAGUUUGUGCUCAGUAACUACAAUAUCAUAGGCUCCUGUGCAAUCUACAUACAGAGAAAUUGUUUCAUUGAUAGCUUACCAGUUCAUCAACAAUUUUUUUGUAGUUUGAUCCACUCAAUGAGCUGAGAAAAUUGCCUAUUAUGAACCAUGAAGAUUGUAAAGCUUUGGAAGCUGCUGCCAACAGACAGCUGUGCAGCCAAGGUAAAGUGAUAUCUUAUGACAGGUUAGUAAAAUUUGCUCAAAAUUCAGGAUAUUCCUACAAUGAUCAAGUGAAAGAAAACCUUUGUUAUCUUUUUUCUUGAACACAAUCAAAACAAAUAAGAAGUGUUGUGGAUGGAUCAAUAGCUGCGUGACAGAUAUAAGCCAUUUGCAAAAGUAAAUAUGUCAUGAUAAAGUAAAUUAAUUGCCUGGAAUUUGGACCGGUCACACUAAUAAAGAUGAUAAGAGUGAAAGAUCACCAAGCCUACAGCCUACUGUCUGCACAAUGCACAGUGUUUUUUUAUUACAACAGUACAAGUUAUCCUUUACUCAAAGAUAUGGAGUAUGGCAAC